GUGCAUUGGGUAGGGGAGCGUUCUGUAAGCGGUUGAAGGUGUGUGGUAACGCAUGCUGGACGUAUCAGAAGUGCGAAUGCUGACAUGAGUAACGAUAAAGGGGGUGAAAAACCUCCUCGCCGGAAGACCAAGGGUUCCUGUCCAACGUUAAUCGGGGCAGGGUAAGUCGACCCCUAAGGCGAGGCCGAAAGGCGUAGUCGAUGGGAAACGGGUUAAUAUUCCCGUACUUCUUACAAUUGCGAUGGGGGGACGGAGAAGGCUAGGUGGGCCUGGCGACGGUUGUCCAGGUUCAAGUGUGUAGGCUGAGAAAUUAGGUAAAUCCGGUUUCUCUUAAGGCUGAGACACGACGUCGAGCUACUACGGUAGUGAAGUCAUUGAUGCCAUGCUUCCAGGAAAAGCCUCUAAGCUUCAGAUUGUAAGGAAUCGUACCCCAAACCGACACAGGUGGUCGGGUAGAGAAUACCAAGGCGCUUGAGAGAACUCGGGUGAAGGAACUAGGCAAAAUGGUACCGUAACUUCGGGAGAAGGUACGCUCUCGACGGUGAAGUCCCUCGCGGAUGGAGCUAUUGAGAGUCGCAGAUACCAGGUGGCUGCAACUGUUUAUUAAAAACACAGCACUGUGCAAAAUCGCAAGAUGACGUAUACGGUGUGACGCCUGCCCGGUGCCGGAAGGUUAAUUGAUGGGGUUAGACUUCGGUCGAAGCUCUUGAUCGAAGCCCCGGUAAACGGCGGCCGUAACUAUAACGGUCCUAAGGUAGCGAAAUUCCUUGUCGGGUAAGUUCCGACCUGCACGAAUGGCGUAAUGAUGGCCACGCUGUCUCCACCCGAGACUCAGUGAAAUUGAAAUCGCUGUGAAGAUGCAGUGUACCCGCGGCUAGACGGAAAGACCCCGUGAACCUUUACUACAGCUUGGCACUGAACAUUGACCCUACAUGUGUAGGAUAGGUGGGAGGCUUUGAAGCGCAGUCGCUAGAUUGCGUGGAGCCGUCCUUGAAAUACCACCCUUGUAGUGUUGAUGUUCUAACGUUGACCCCUUAUCGGGGUUGCGGACAGUGCCUGGUGGGUAGUUUGACUGGGGCGGUCUCCUCCCAAAGCGUAACGGAGGAGCACGAAGGUGGGCUAAUCACGGUUGGACAUCGUGAGGUUAGUGCAAUGGCAUAAGCCCGCUUGACUGCGAGAAUGACAAUUCGAGCAGGUGCGAAAGCAGGUCAUAGUGAUCCGGUGGUUCUGAAUGGAAGGGCCAUCGCUCAACGGAUAAAAGGUACUCCGGGGAUAACAGGCUGAUACCGCCCAAGAGUUCAUAUCGACGGCGGUGUUUGGCACCUCGAUGUCGGCUCAUCACAUCCUGGGGCUGAAGUCGGUCCCAAGGGUAUGGCUGUUCGCCAUUUAAAGUGGUACGCGAGCUGGGUUUAGAACGUCGUGAGACAGUUCGGUCCCUAUCUGCCGUGGGCGUUGGAGAAUUGAAAGGGGCUGCUCCUAGUACGAGAGGACCGGAGUGGACGAACCUCUGGUGUUCGGGUUGUGUCGCCAGACGCAUUGCCCGGUAGCUAAGUUCGGGAUCGAUAACCGCUGAAAGCAUCUAAGCGGGAAGCGAGCCUUGAGAUGAGUUCUCCCUGAUACUUUAAGUAUCCUAAAGGGUUGUCGUAGACUACGACGUUGAUAGGCAGGGUGUGUAAGCGUUGUGAGGCGUUGAGCUAACCUGUACUAAUUGCCCGUGAGGCUUAACCAU
rnacentral:rRNA from 1 species